rnacentral:lncRNA from 1 species
UGCUACUCCCCUCAUUCCCAACAUGUAUCAAGUACCUGCAUUGAGUAAUGCAAGAGUGAGAUGACACAUCUCAGCAAGUAAAAUAAUAUCAAACAGUUUAACCCCAUAAGAACAUUGUUUUACCACCACUUGAUUCCACAACCUUCUUAUUACGAAGGUGCAACACGUAUACAACGUACAACACACCUAGUUACCACACCUCGCAGGUAGAAACCACAAUAGUAACAUAGUAAUGUCACACUUCAUAUAUUCCUCAUGAGUGCAAAUGUCUGCAAAUGCAAAGAUGACUUCUGCCUUCAUACCACUAAGGAUAUGAAGCCGCAUCGUACCCCUCCUCGGGCAACGUACGAUGCUAAAAAUGUACCGGUACGGUCGGACCAUAAGAUCAUGACAUAACUUCAAAAUGCAAGAUGGAUGAUGCGAUGUGCAUGUCAUGCCUACAACACUUCAUAUAACAUGAUUAAAAAGAUACUUCAACUUCAUCCAAGAUGGGAAUCAACCACAUAUAUCAUUACCAAAUUAUGAUCAUCCACAAUAUUAGACAAUUGAGAAUUAAUACUUCCAAACAAAUAAACUUCAUCAUAGAAUUCAAUGAUUAACAUAAUUAAAACUUAUGCAUACUCAAUGACAGGGAAUAGGAUGCAAACCAAACGGUAGCAACCACCACUGUAUUUACUUGCCUUUACCGAAAGUUCGGGCAAAUCCCUAAGUACGAUCCGGAAGUCCACCACCUAUUUUUGACACCCAACUUAGUGCACCAAUUUCACAUAAUCAGGCUCAUAAGCGACGCCGCACCUACGCACAAACUCAAACCCCGCCGUGGGUUACAUCUCUCCCUACAUCCACCAAACUGCAGCGGCGCUGCUUAAUAAUUUCAUAACUUUAAAAUUAUGACAGCAGUGGUAACAAACAAAAACUCCAGAGACAUCUACAUAAAAUUCCCCACAAGUUUUGUAUACAAUUUAUAAUUAAAUUCCAAUAUCUAAUAGCCCAAAAUAGUCCACAAGAUGAACCCUGUAAUCUGUUUUUCUUUGUCUUUUGGACAGCGACAUACCCGGAUUCAAACAGCGAUAUCUUUUAAAAUAUAAUUCCAAAUCAAGCGCAUAAGUACUCAUUGGAAAGAUAAGACAAAUCCCUACAUGAUUAUCAUACUGGUUAACACUAAUUACCCACGAAAAAUUCCCAGAAACUGCUAAUACCACUGCUGUUCACCCAUCUGAAAAAACUGUUUUUUUUGGACAGCAACAUAACCGGAUUCAAACAACGAUAUCUCCUAAAUUAUAACUCCGAAUCGAGCGCAUAAGUACUUAUUGGAAAGAUAACAUAAAUCCCUACAUCAUUCUUAUACUGAUUAACACUAAUUACUCCCGAAAAAUCCCCAUAAACUGCUAAUACUGCUGCUGUUCAUCCCCCUGAAAAUCUGUUUUUUUGGACAGCCACCUACCCGGUUUCAAACGGUGAUAACUUUUAAUUUAUAACUCCAAAUUGAGCGCAUAAAUACUCAUUGGAAAGGUACGCCAAAGUUCUACAUGAUUCCCACACUGAUUCCCCUUAAUUCUCCACGAAAAAUGCCCAGAAAUCACUAAUUCUGCUGCUGUUCGUCCACCCCCUUAAAAUUCUGGACAGGCCUUCUACCAAAUCGCACACGCAACAUCUAAACAAUUGGAUUGCCGCAUAAAAUGAACAAGAGAUAAACACAAAAAUCACCUUGGGUUCUCCCCCUUUUCUUCCUCCCUUCCUCCCUCCACCGAAAACCGUUGAAGAUUUGCACCACGCGACGGAGAUCCGAGCGGCAACGAAUGGCACCAUGGGAGGAGAUGGGGGGGGGCAGCUAGGGUUUGAUGUGUGGCUGCAAGUGCUUGAGAAAGGAGGAGAUGGGAGGGGG